rnacentral:lncRNA from 1 species
AUCCUCUUGACAAAGGUAUGAACACAAUGAUUAUCAAAAUCGCUAUUUUUUAUGUUCAUAUAUCUCCUUUAUUUUUUCUGUCCUUCAUAUCAUUGUUUUUUAUUUAAGGCAGCCAAAUUUAUUAGAAAACGAUCUCAUAGUAUAAGAAAUACUCAACAAACAUAAAUUUGUACAUAAGUAACUACAAUGAUGCAAAAAUAAUUAGGAGACUACUUCAACAACUAUAAACUAAAAGGUAGAAACCACACACUACUACUUAUUUGUUUUUUCUGCAUUUUUUUACUAUUAACUUUUUGUUGUGUUUCAUCCUAGAAUGAAUGGAAAGAAUGACUACAAAUCAGUUUGCUUCACCCGCAUCUUUUCAUGUUAGUGAAAUUCAUUCUUCCGCUUUAUUCUUUAUUGCUAUCAUAUCUUUAUAAUCUUCAACUUCAUUAUAUAACAAAUCAGUUUUUUCUAUUUGCAGCAAAAUUUAAUGCUCAGCACAACAAAGAUCUAGGUAAAUGUUAAUAAUACUGUUUAUUUUGUGACUCUCAAGGAAUGAGCUUAAAAAAAGUGACGGACGAAAAAAACAAAAAUCAAAAUAAAAGAGAGUAUUGAGAUUUUUGUCUUUCAAACUCCAACUUUCACAUUAAACUUCANNNNNNNNNNNNNNNNNNNNNNNNNNNNNNNNNNNNNNNNNNNNNNNNNNNNNNNNNAAAAAAAUGAUAAUUAGAAAGAGAAUCGAAAAAUUUAAUAUAAAGAAAAAAGAAACAGAGAAAAAAAUAAAAACAAGAUAAAGAUAACAAAAUAAACUGAUUCAAACCACUCUACUUAGAUUAAAUAAAAACAAACCGAUUCAAAGCAGAUAUGGUUUUAUUCAUUCUUUUCAUGUCUUAAUUAAUUUGUUGUUCUUGCAUCUACAUAAAGAAUGGAGAUGACGAAGUCGCACAGUAUUUCCGGUAUGGUUGUUUCACUUUCCGGUACGGUGGUUACCUGAAAAAGUAUUUCAAUCUUCAUUUUUAUAUUGUGGGUUUUAUAGAGAAGGUCGAGAAAAGUCUCUAUGAAGACGAUUUUUCAAAAAUUGGUCCAUGGUGGUCGAAAUCUAACAUUGAAGGUGGUGGUUGAGGUGUCUAAUAAUAUCUCUGAUUUGAAAAUAAAAAUGGUAAAUAGAAAAGAAGAUGGUACAUAUGUGUUUGUAGCACAACAUGAUGAUGUUGGAGGUAUAUUUCCAGUUCCAAUUGAGUGGCUAGGGUUUGUUUGAGAGAGAGCUUCUUUAGUGUGAGAGAGAUUAUGUUGAACAAAUGAGGUGUUAGAGAAUAGAGAGAUGAACUCUUCUAUAUUGUGGACUUCAAAAAAAAUUUCAAUCAAGUUAAUGAUGGAUUUCUAGAUUGUGGACUUCAAAAAAAUUCAAUUAAGUUAAUGAUGGACUCUUCUAGAUGGUGGACUUAAAAAUAUUCAAUUCAGUUAAUUUUUAGUACUAUGAAGUCUGAAUACGUGAUACGAUAUCGAUAUGGUGAUACGAGAAAAUUUUCAAAAUUCCAGAUACAAUACGGCUUAGAUACGUUAUUUAUAAAUUAAAUUUAAAAUUAAAUAUAUAAAUGCACAAUAUAUAAACAUAACUAAAAUCGAUAAUGAUAAAAAANNNNNNNNNNNNNNNNNNNNNNNNNNNNNNNNNNNNNNNGAUACGUCUAACAUGUCUUAAAGAUGAAUAUUUAAAAAUAAUCAUUAUAGACAAAAACCAGUGCACUUAUUAUAGUAAUUUUUUUAAUUGAAUAUAGUAUAGUAUAAGAUUUUCGCUACUUUUUUUGAAGAGUUUAUGUUGUCAAUGUAUACGACUAAUAAUUUAAACUUUCACAUUUUAUCAACAAUAAACAAGAUAUGGGAUAUCCUGAACAUGUAAUAAAAAUGAAUAUUUGAAAAUAACUAUUAUAGACAAAAAUCAUUAUUAGUGCUGUGAACCUAUAUUAUAGUAAAGUAUUAAUUGAAAAUACUAUAGUAGAAGAUUUUCAUUACUUUUAUGAAGAAUUUAUGUCUUUUAUAUAUAUGACUAAUAAUACAUACUUUCAUAUUUUUAUUAACCAAUAUAUGAGAUACGUUAGACGUGUCUUAAAGUUUAAGUUUGUCACGGGACGGGAUAUCCUGAAAAAUGUCUUAAAAAUGAAAAAUGAAUUCCAAUAAAGAAACAACCAUGUGAAGUACCAAAAUACCCCUCAAAUGGCCAAAAUUCUAAAUGAUGACACCUGACAACUACAUUAAAUGCACAACCACUUUCUUUUUGGAGGCAAAAUUUCAAUUUCAAAUUGAAUAGUUUUUCUAUAUAUUAAUCAAUAUCAUAUACUUUUCAACCACUCUCAUUUCUCUUUUCUUUAUGUCACUUUUUCUAUCUAAAGUUUAUUAUCUUCUCUAUUUUCUAAUCUCGAUUUUAUAUUCAUGUCAUUUUGCAGGAAAGUUAUGUUUUUUGUUAAGAAGAACAACAUUGCAACACAUGUAUUUCACUUUUCGGUACGGUGGUUACAGAAGAAAAUAUUCUAAUCUUCAUUUUUAUGUUGUGGGUUUUGUAGAGAAUGUGGAGAAAAGUCACUUUAUGGUGAUGUUUUUUCAAAAUUAGGUCGUUACAAUAUACGUCACACUGCAUGUCUUAAAAUUUAAGUUUGUCAUGGGAUAUCCUGGACAUGUCUUAAAGAUGAAUAUUUUAAAAUAACUAUUAUAGACAAAAAAACAUUAUGAGUGCCGCUAUUGUAGUAAAGUUUUAAUUGAAAAUAAUAUAGUAAAAGAUUUUCGCUACUUUUAUGAAGAAUUUAUGUUGUCAAUGUAUACGACUAAUAAUUUGAACAUUCACAUUUU